rnacentral:rRNA from 1 species
UACGUAGGGGGGCAAGCGUUGUCCGGAUUUAUUGGGCGUAAAGAGCGUGUAGGCGGCCAAGCAGGUCAGCUGUGAAAAACUCGAGGCUCAACCUCGAGACGUCGGUUGAAACCGCUUGGCUAGAGUCCGGAAGAGGAGAGUGGAAUUCCCGGUGUAGCGGUGAAAUGCGCAGAUAUCGGGAAGAACACCCGUGGCGAAGGCGGCUCACUGGCCCGGUACUGACGCUGAGGUGCGAAAGCGUGGGGAGCAAACAGGG